GACGAACGCUGGCGGCAUGCUUAACACAUGCAAGUCGAACGGAGUGGCGAAAGGGUGAGUAACACGAGGGUGACGUGACUCGCACUUCGGGAUAAGCUAGGGAAACUGGGUCUAAUACAGGAUAGUGCACGAUGAGCACGCGGCCUAACAGCUUGUUGGUGGGGUAAUGGCCUACCAAGGCGUCGACGGGUAGCCGGCCUGGGAGGGGGUACGGCCACAUUGGGACUGAGAUACUGCCCAGACUCCUACGGGUGGCAGCAGUGGCGAGUAUUGCACAAUUGGCGGAAGCCUGAUGCCGCGACCCCGCGUGGGGGAUGAAUGCCUUCGGGUUGUAAACUCCUUUCGACAGGUACGCGGUACCUGUAUAAGAAGCACCGGCUAACUACGUGCCAGCAGCCGCGGUAAUAC
rnacentral:rRNA from 1 species